rnacentral:rRNA from 1 species
GACGAACGCUGGCGGCGUGCUUAACACAUGCAAGUCGAACGGAAAGGCCUGUCCUUUGUGGUGUUCUCGGGUGACUCACGUGUCAGAAACACGUGAGUCACCUGCCCUUUCCUUUGGCAUAAUUUCUGUAACCUUGGGCUAAUACCGCUUAUUAGCUCUUGCUCCACGGUGGGGUUUGGACAGUUUCGGCGGUUGGGGUUGUACUCGCGGCUUAUCAGAUUGUUGGUGGGGUAGUGGCUUAGGAAGGCGUCGACGGGUAGCCGGCCUGAGAGGGUGACCGGCGACAUGGGGAAGGAGACUCGGCCCAGACGCAUACGGGAAGCAGCAGUGGGGGAUAUUGCACAAUGGGAGGAAGCCUGAGGCAGCAACGCCGCGUGCGGGAUGACGGCCUUCGGGUGGCAAACAGGUAGCGCCUGGGAUGAAGCGUGGGUGACGGUAAUGGGUAAAGAAGCACCGGCUAACUACGUG